ensembl:lncRNA
CAGCAAAAAGAAAAGUGACAAGAAGUAGGGGAAGGAGGGACUACUUUUGUUGGGGCAUGUUGUCAAGAGAGGCAUCCCAAGGUGGGGAAAAUUCCAACUGGCAGAAGUAUUAAAGGAUUAAUUCUAAGCCAGGCAGAAUGGCAGCAUAAAAAUAUUGGGAUAGGAAGGCAUGGGUUAACUAAGGAGUCAGGUGGACAAGGUGCAAAGAACAUGCAAGGCAAACAGAGAAUUAUAGCAGAAAGAUAAAGCCAGAUCCUAAAGGGCUCUCACUGAACAGCUUGAAUGGGUCCUUAAAGCAGUAGGGAGUCACUGAAGGGCUUUAGAGAUGAGAGGCGUGCUGGCUGAAUGUUAACCUGCCACUGGUGUGUAGCAUGGACUGGACAGAGGAAGCCAAGCUGAUGGAAGAUGAUGCUGUCACCUCAACCGAAAUCUUUAAGGCCAGCCAUGACAGGGGAGAGAGCCAGGAGAAUGGAGUGCUAACUCUUCAGUACUACAGCUCAUGCAGACGCGUGCCAUUUCUGCUUGAAUUAGCCAGAGAAAGUCAGAUGACCGUGUAUAACAACAAGCGGGUAGUAUGCCUGGAAGAAGAGGAGAGAGAGAAAUCUUGAUGAGCACACAAUGAUGAUUGUUCCUACUUCAUACAUAGGAUAAGACUUAGAGGAGAAACUAACUUGUUCAAUGUCACACGUCUCAGCAGCCCAUACCUUCAAUUCUGAGGACUACACAGUAAGAAGCUAGCUUCUCUUCUUUCUGCCCCAAAUUCACUUGAAACCACAGAAACC